GGAAUCUUCCACAAUGGACGCAAGUCUGAUGGAGCAACGCCGCGUGACUGAAGAAGGGUUUCGGCUCGUAAAGCUCUGUUGUUAAAGAAGAACGUGGGUAAGAGUAACUGUUUACCCAGUGACGGUAUUUAACCAGAAAGCCGCGGCUAACUACGUGCCAG
rnacentral:rRNA from 1 species